rnacentral:rRNA from 1 species
UACGUGUGAGGCAAGCGUUAUUCGUCUUUAAUGGGUCUAAAGGGUACGUAGGCGGUAUAUAUAAUCUUAUUAUUAAUCACCUUAGAGUGGGUUUGCAUAUUUAUAUACUAGAGUUAUAAAAAGGAGUAACAAACACGACAAGAGGAAGUGUGACAAUACUAAUAUACUUGAAAGGUUGCGUAGCGGCGAAAGCGUGUUACUAUAGAAAACUGACGCUAAGGUACGAAGGCAUAGGUAUCGAUCGGG